CGUAGGGGGCAAGCGUUGUCCGGAAUUAUUGGGCGUAAAGAGCGCGUAGGCGGUCCGGUAAGUCGGUUGUGAAAGUCGGGGGCUCAACCCUCGGAUGCCGAUCGAUACUGCCGGGCUAGAGUCCGGAAGAGGCGAGUGGAAUUCCUGGUGUAGCGGUGAAAUGCGCAGAUAUCAGGAGGAACACCAAUGGCGAAGGCAGCUCGCUGGGACGGUACUGACGCUGAGGCGCGAAAGCGUGGGGAGCAAACAGGAUUAGAUACCCUGGUAGUCCACGCCGUAAACGAUGGACACUAGGUGUGGGAGGUGUCGACUCCUCCCGUGCCGAAGCUAACGCAUUAAGUGUCCCGCCUGGGGAGUACGGCCGCAAGGCUA
rnacentral:rRNA from 1 species